CGCACGGGUGAGUAAUGCUUCGGAAUCUACCUUAUGGUGGGGAAUAACUAGCCGAAAGGUUAGCUAAUACCGCAUACGUCCUACGGGAGAAAGCAGGGGAUCGUAAGACCUUGCGCCAAAAGAUGAGCCGAAGUCGGAUUAGCUAGUUGGUAGGGUAACGGCCUACCAAGGCGACGAUCCGUAGCUGGUCUGAGAGGACGACCAGCCACACUGGGACUGAGACACGGCCCAG
rnacentral:rRNA from 1 species